GACGAACGCUGGCGGCGUGCUUAACACAUGCCAGUCGAACGGAAAGGCCCCUUUGGGGGUACUCGAGUGGCGAACGGGUGAGUAACACGUGAGUAACCUGCCCUUGACUUCGGGAUAACUUCAGGAAACUGGGGCUAAUACCGGAUAGGAAUCCUUGCUGCAUGGUGGGGGUUGGAAAGCUUCGGCGGUUUUGGAUGGACUCGCGGCUUAUCAGCUUGUUGGUGGGGUAGUGGCUUACCAAGGCUUUGACGGGUAGCCGGCCUGAGAGGGCGACCGGCCACAUUGGGACUGGGAUACGGCCCAGACUCCUACGGGAGGCAGCAGUGGGGAAUAUUGCACAAUGGGCGGAAGCCUGAUGCAGCAACGCCGCGUGCGGGAUGACGGCCUUCGGGUUGUAAACCGCUUUCAGCAGGGGCGAAGCUUGCGGUGACGGUACCUGCAGAAGAAGCACCGGCUAACUACGUG
rnacentral:rRNA from 1 species